rnacentral:rRNA from 1 species
AGAGUUUGAUCCUGGCUCAGGAUGAACGCUAGCGGCAGGCUUAACACAUGCAAGUCGAGGGGCAGCGGGGAGGAAGCUUGCUUUCUCCGCCGGCGACCGGCGCACGGGCGAGUAACACGUAUGCAACCUGCCCCUGUCAGGGGGACAACCCGCCGAAAGGCGGGCUAAACCCGCGUACAUGCCACCGGGGCAUCCCGGAGGCAGGAAAGGCUUCGGCCGGACAGGGAUGGGCAUGCGGCGCAUUAGGCAGUAGGCGGGGUAACGGCCCACCUAACCGACGAUGCGUAGGGGUUCUGAGAGGAAGGUCCCCCACACUGGUACUGAGACACGGACCAGACUCCUACGGGAGGCAGCAGUGAGGAAUAUUGGUCAAUGGUCGGGAGACUGAACCAGCCAAGCCGCGUGAGGGAGGAAGGUACAGAGUAUCGUAAACCUCUUUUGUCAGGGAACAAAGGCGGGGACGUGUCCCCGGAUGAGUGUACCUGAAGAAAAAGCAUCGGCUAACUCCGUGCCAGCAGCCGCGGUAAUACGGAGGAUGCGAGCGUUAUCCGGAUUUAUUGGGUUUAAAGGGUGCGCAGGCGGUCUGUUAAGUCAGCGGUCAAAGCCCGGGGCUCAACCCCGGCCCGCCGUUGAAACUGGCAGUCUCGAGUUGGAGAGAAGUAUGCGGAAUGCGCGGUGUAGCGGUGAAAUGCAUAGAUAUCGCGCAGAACUCCGAUUGCGAAGGCAGCAUGCCGGCUCCACACUGACGCUGAGGCACGAAAGCGUGGGUAUCGAACAGGAUUAGAUACCCUGGUAGUCCACGCAGUAAACGAUGAAUGCUGGCUGUCCGGGGGGAUUGACCCCUGGGUGGCGAAGCGAAAGCGAUAAGCAUUCCACCUGGGGAGUACGCCGGCAACGGUGAAACUCAAAGGAAUUGACGGGGGCCCGCACAAGCGGAGGAACAUGUGGUUUAAUUCGAUGAUACGCGAGGAACCUUACCCGGGCUCAAACGGGGAGUGGCUCAGGCAGAGACGCCUGUUUCCCACGGGACACUCCCCGAGGUGCUGCAUGGUUGUCGUCAGCUCGUGCCGUGAGGUGUCGGCUUAAGUGCCAUAACGAGCGCAACCCCCGCGUGCGGUUGCUAACAGAUAACGCUGAGGACUCUGCACGGACUGCCGGCGCAAGCCGCGAGGAAGGCGGGGAUGACGUCAAAUCAGCACGGCCCUUACGUCCGGGGCGACACACGUGUUACAAUGGGUGGUACAGCGGGAAGCCAGGCGGCGACGCCGAGCGGAACCCGAAAUCCACUCUCAGUUCGGAUCGGAGUCUGCAACCCGACUCCGUGAAGCUGGAUUCGCUAGUAAUCGCGCAUCAGCCAUGGCGCGGUGAAUACGUUCCCGGGCCUUGCACACACCGCCCGUCAAG